AUAUUGCACUUAUAUAUUUCAUCAUAUUUUUUCCUUUUUAAUGUUGAGUAAUCCAACUUUAUCUAAUAUUACCUGGUCUAAACCCAUGUGCAUGCCCUCACAAAAUGCCAAACUUCAACGCAUUAUUGAAUCACUAGAUAAGAUAAUGUUUUCGUGAAAUGAUGCAGCUGGUCGCAGCAAUAAUUCGUUCUUCAGAAUGGGUGGUGUCGGUAAAAUUGUUCUGUUUUUUCUAGACUUAGAAAAGAGCUGAGAGUCGUUCUGCAAUGACGAAACUUAGCUGUUUUCGAGAUUGUAAAAGAAGGUAGUUACAGAAAACUUCGAAAAUCUUGUGCCGUUUUGCUUCAGCACGAAGAUAUGAGAAGUACUCAAGUAAGAAACUCAGUUUCAUAUUCCGUAUUUCAUGUUAUUUUGUAUUACUAUGUUCUGUACUUUAAGAGAAUUGCUCUUGGAGUCAUUCUAUGGAUGUGAUGCAUCAAUUUGAUCUAAUAA